CUGGCCUCACUUGUGACCUGGUGGCAUAUGUAGAUUAUUGCUCAGGUCAUGAGUUCGAGGGCUGGUAGAGAGGGAAGAAGAAACUGAAGAAAAUGAUAAUUAAAAGGAGGUAUUCUAAAAUACCUUUUUUACCCUUCUUAUUUCAAUUAAAAAAAAACAUUUGUUUAAAUAUGAAAUAUGUUAAUUAUUACUGGUUGCAAUAUUUUCAAAUAUCUUUGUGCAAAAA
rnacentral:lncRNA from 1 species